rfam:Salmo salar isolate Sally breed double haploid chromosome ssa16, whole genome shotgun sequence.
AUCCCUGUGGCUCAGUUGGUAGAGCAGGGUGUUUGCAACGCCAGCAUGGUGUGUGCAACGCCAGGGUUGUGGGUUCAAUUCCCACAGGGGGCC